UUAAGAUAAAACAGAAAAGUCAAAAUCAAACUUUGAGUCCCUAGGAUAUGGGCCGAUGUCUAUAGCCAAAUCAUCGUGGGCAGAAAUGUCACAACUCAAAAUCAUUAAAUCUUCCUCUUAUACGAAUAUGAGGCAUACAAACUUUUCUUCAAGGUGUUCUUUUUUUAAUAUGAAAAGAACCCUUUAAGAAGAGUGUUAAAAGAAAUCAUACUAGAAAAGCUUAAUUAUUACAACAAAAAUAGAGCAAAUAAAGGAAAUCAUUCACUUUAAAUGAUUGCAAGGUGGUAAUCAAAUUCAAAAGGAAUGAUGCAUAGUUCAUUACAAUUUGUUUUAGGUUUCAAAGCUCCGACACUAAGGUAUAGGCAUAAAGGAAUAUAAACGUACUGACAGGUGAUGAAAAUGUAUAUGCAAGAUUACAGCUUCUUGUAUCCCGUGCUAGACUAAAGUUAUCCGAAACUUAAUUUAUCCGAUUUCAUAUCAACUAGUAUUGCUAUUAAUGAAAUAAAAUUGAACAAGAUCUACUCAAAUAUGUGGAAUUCUUCUUCUAACAUAUCCAAACAUUAAUAAUAUCCAAAACAAUACAACUAAAACAAUAAAAACGACAAAUAUACUAAAAUUUAAAUUAUAUUAUUCAAACGGUCAGUCGAUUUUUAUUUUACA